rnacentral:lncRNA from 1 species
AUGGCAGAAGACAUCAAGACUAAACUCAAGAACUACAAAAUCGCUCCCUUUGACAGCUGCUUCCCAAACCAGAGACAGACCAGGAAGUGCUGGCAAGAUGAUAACUAGACCUCCAGCACUUCAACUGCCAAGAGACCACCAAGGACGGGAAAGGCACUGAUGUCUCCGUGUGAGCGGUACCGGCGUGGGUACAAAUCCCUCUGUCCCAUAUCGUGGGGCAUGAGUGCGUGG